rnacentral:rRNA from 1 species
AUUGAACGCUGGCGGCAUGCCUUACACAUGCAAGUCGAACGGCAGCACGGGUGCUUGCACCUGGUGGCGAGUGGCGAACGGGUGAGUAAUACAUCGGAACAUGUCCUGUAGUGGGGGAUAGCCCGGCGAAAGCCGGAUUAAUACCGCAUACGAUCUACGGAUGAAAGCGGGGGACCUUCGGGCCUCGCGCUAUAGGGUUGGCCGAUGGCUGAUUAGCUAGUUGGUGGGGUAAAGGCCUACCAAGGCGACGAUCAGUAGCUGGUCUGAGAGGACGACCAGCCACACUGGGACUGAGACACGGCCCAGACUCCUACGGGAGGCAGCAGUGGGGAAUUUUGGACAAAGGGCGAAAGCCUGAUCCAGCAAUGCCGCGUGUGUGAAGAAGGCCCUCGGGUUGUAAAGCACUUUUGUCCGGAAAGAAAUCCUUGGCCCUAAUACAGUCGGGGGAUGACGGUACCGGAAGAAUAAGCACCGGCUAACUACGUG